AGUGAACGCUGGCGGUAGGCCUAACACAUGCAAGUCGAACGGCAGCACAGUAAGAGCUUGCUCUUACGGGUGGCGAGUGGCGGACGGGUGAGGAAUACAUCGGAAUCUACUUUUUCGUGGGGGAUAACGUAGGGAAACUUACGCUAAUACCGCAUACGACCUACGGGUGAAAGCAGGGGAUCUUCGGACCUUGCGCGAUUGAAUGAGCCGAUGUCGGAUUAGCUAGUUGGCGGGGUAAAGGCCCACCAAGGCGACGAUCCGUAGCUGGUCUGAGAGGAUGAUCAGCCACACUGGAACUGAGACACGGUCCAGACUCCUACGGGAGGCAGCAGUGGGGAAUAUUCGACAAUGGGCGAAAGCCUGACGGAGCAACGCCGCGUGAGUGAUGAAGGUCUUCGGAUCGUAAAACUCUGUUAUUAGGGAAGAACAAAUGUGUAAGUAACUAUGCACGUCUUGACGGUACCUAAUCAGAAAGCCACGGCUAACUACGUG
rnacentral:rRNA from 1 species